UUCUACAGCCGUAGCACCCUGAAUGUACCUGAUCUUGCCCAAUCUCGGAAGCUAAGCAGGGCUGGGCCUACUUAGUACUUGGAUGGGAGAAAAUACGUUGCUGUAUGAU
rnacentral:rRNA from 1 species